rnacentral:rRNA from 1 species
GUACACGCUGUGACUAGCAUAUCAAUAAGCGGAGGAAAAGAAACUAACAAGGAUUCCCCUAGUAACGGCGAGUGAAGCGGGAAGAGCUCAAAUUUGAAAUCUUAAAGGGUUUCCCUUUACGAAUUGUAGUUUAAAGAAGUGUUUUCUGUUGAGGUUUUGGUAAAAGUUCUUUGGAAUAGGACAUCAUAGAGGGUGAGAAUCCCGUAUUUGACCUUUACUUUCAACUUUGUGAUACACUUUCAAAGAGUCGGAUUGUUUGGGAAUGCAGUCCAAAAUGGGUGGUAAAUUUCAUCUAAAGCUAAAUAUUGGCGAGAGACCGAUAGCGAACAAGUACCGUGAGGGAAAGAUGAAAAGAACUUUGAAAAGAGAGUUAAACAGUACGUGAAAUUGUCAAAAGGGAAGCGUUUGACACCAGUGUUGUUUUUCUGAAAAUCAAUUAAAGAACUGUUUAUGCUAAGCUGUUUAGACUUUAUCAGCUAUCUGUUUAGUUUUGAGCUUUUCUUUAAUGCACUUCUCAGUUAACAAGUCAACAUCAAUUUCUUUUGCUGUAAAAAAGCUUGAGGAAGGUGGCUUGAGAUUCGUCUUAAGUGUUUAUAGCCUCUUGCCUAUGCAGUCGGAGAGAUUGAGGUCUGCAGCGUAGAUCCUUCGGGGCUAAAUGCAUUUGUGCUAAGUUAUAGCAUUUCAUAGACAACUUGUUGACUAUGAUUUGUCUUGUAGCUUACUCGCUUAUGUUAUUUUACCUACGCUUAGGAUGUUGACGAGACUGUCGAUCUC